rnacentral:rRNA from 1 species
AUUCCAAUCGAAUCCGGAUAUAGCUGGUUCUCCUCGAAAUAGCUUUAGGGCUAGCCUCAACGUGAGAAUAUCGGGGGUAGAGCACUGAAUGGGCUAGGGGCCUUCACGGGUUACCGAACCUUAUCAAACUGCGAAUACCGAAUAUUUAUAGUUGGGAGUCAGACGGCGUGAGAUAAGUUUCGUCGUCAAAAGGGAAACAGCCCAGAUCUACAGCUAAGGUCCCCAAGUUAAGGUUAAGUGGUAAAGGAUGUGGCAUUGCACAGACAACCAGGAUGUUGGCUUAGAAGCAGCCACACAUUCAAAGAGUGCGUAAUAGCUCACUGGUCGAGUGACGCUGCGCCGAAGAUUCCCGGGGCUAAAACCUUACACCGAAGCUUAGGAUUCAUAGAGAUAUGAGUGGUAGAGGAGCAAUGUAUGCGGGCAGAAGCCGUAUCGAAAGGGGCGGUGGACUGCAUACAAGAGAGAAUGCCGGCAUAAGUAGCGAGAGAGAAGUGAGAAACUUUUCCGUCGAAAGCCUAAGGUUUCCUGGGGAAGGUUCGUCCGCCCAGGGUAAGUCGGGACCUAAGUUGAGGCCGAAAGGCGUAGAUGAUGGACAACGGGUAGAUAUUCCCGUACCACCGCAAUAGUUCGAAGCAGGGACACAGAAGGAUAGUCGGACUCCGGGGAUGGAAAGCCGGGGCUAAGUCAUGAGGCCGGCACGUAGUGAAGUACGCGUGUCGCGAGGCUGGGUGACGAUGGGGAGCGAAAACUAGUAGCGAAGCCGAUGAAUUCACGCUGGCGAGAAAAACUGCUAAGGUAGAUAUUGAGGUGCCCGUACCGCAAACCGACACAGGUAGGCGGCAAGAGAAUUGCAAGACGAACGGGAUAACCAUUGGUUAAGGAACUCGGCAAAAUGACCCCGUAACUUAGGGAGAAGGGGAGCCUAGCGAUAGGUCGCAGUGAAAAGGCCCAAGCGACUGUUUAUCAAAAACACAGGUCUCUGCAAAAGCGAAAGCUGAAGUAUAGGGGCUGACGCCUGCCCGGUGCUGGAAGGUCAAGGGGAAGAGUUAGGAGAAAAUCCGAAGCUUAGAACUUAAGCCCCAGUGAACGGCGGCCGUAACAAUAACGGUCCUAAGGUAGCGAAAUUCCUUGUCAGGUAAGUUCUGACCCGCAUGAAUGGCGUAACGAUUUGGGCGCUGUCUCAACCAUGGACCCGGCGAAAUUGUAGUAUAUGUGAAGAUGCAUAUUACCUGCGACUGGACGGAAAGACCCCGUAGAGCUUCACUGUAAGUUGAUAUUGAAUUUCGGUAAUAAAUGCACAGGAUAGGUGGGAGGCUGAGAAGAUGCUGCUUCGGCAGUAUCGGAGCCGACGUUGGGAUACCACCCUUUUGUUACUGGACUUCUAACGCUAUGCGCUGAGUCGCGGUGGCGGACAUUGUCAGCUGGACAGUUUGACUGGGGCGGUCGCCUCCUAAAGAGUAACGGAGGCGUUCAAAGGUUCCCUCAGGAUGGUUGGAAACCAUUCACAGAGUAUAAAGGCAGAAGGGAGCUUGACUGCGAGACCAACAAGUCGAGCAGAUACGAAAGUAGGACUUAGUGAUCCGGCGGUAGAGAAUGGAAUUGCCGUCGCUUAACGGAUAAAAGUUACCUCGGGGAUAACAGGCUUAUCUCUCCCAAGAGUUCACAUCGACGGGGAGGUUUGGCACCUCGAUGUCGGCUCGUCACAUCCUGGGGCUGUAGCAGGUCCCAAG